AUGGAUCAGUUUCCCCUUCUUCCUAGUGGCUCCAAGGCCAACACCUCCACACCCUUGUACCUCACCUUAGACAACACAACCUCGGGGGCAUCCACCUCACCAGUGCCGGAGCCGGCGCCGGCGCCGCCUGAACCUUCUAGACAAUCCAACCAUGACAGGGGAACGGAUACAGUCAAAGCCAAGAUCAUGUCGCACCCUCUCUAUCCUGCUCUCCUGACAGCCUUCAUAGAGUGCCAGAAGGUCGGAGCCCCGCCGGAGAUUGUCGGCCGGUUGUCCGCCCUAGCCGGCGACCUCGAUUCAGAUCCUGGCGACCGGCGCCAAGACCCGGUGCCUGACCCAGAACUUGAUGAGUUCAUGGAGACCUACUGCGAUGUGCUGGUCAGGUACAAGCAGGAGCUCACGAGACCAGUCCAAGAAGCCGACCAGUUCUUCAGGGCCAUGGAGGCGCAGAUGGAGUCGUUUACGCUAGAUGACCACAGCUACGUCGAAGGGGGCGGUUCCUCCGAAGACGAGCAAGAAAUCGGCGACGUCGGCGGCCUGCCGGAGAUCACGAGCCACUGCGCGGAGGACAAGGAGCUCAAGAGCCACCUCCUGAACAAGUACAGCGGCUACCUGAGCAGCCUCUGGAGGGACCUCUCCAAGAAGAAGAAGAAAGGCAAGCUGCCGAGGGACGCGCGCCAGAAGCUCCUGCACUGGUGGCAGCUGCACUACAGAUGGCCCUACCCCUCGGAGCUGGAGAAGGCGGCGCUGGCGGAGUCGACGGGGCUGGACGCGAAGCAGAUCAACAACUGGUUCAUCAACCAGCGGAAGCGGCACUGGAAGCCCACGCCGCCGGCCAUGGAGUACAUGUCGCAGCAACAGCACCCCUACGGCGGCCCUUCGAGCAGCUCUUCCGCCCCCUUUCUGACGACGGACGGGCAUUACUUCGCCGGAGGAAGCGCGUAUCCUCGUGGGCCCUGA
rnacentral:rRNA from 1 species